AUUGAACGCUGGCGGCAUGCUUUACACAUGCAAGUCGAACGGUAACAGGUCUUCGGAUGCUGACGAGUGGCGAACGGGUGAGUAAUACAUCGGAACGUGCCUAGUAGUGGGGGAUAACUACUCGAAAGAGUAGCUAAUACCGCAUGAGAUCUACGGAUGAAAGCAGGGGACCUUCGGGCCUUGUGCUACUAGAGCGGCUGAUGGCAGAUUAGGUAGUUGGUGGGGUAAAGGCUUACCAAGCCUGCGAUCUGUAGCUGGUCUGAGAGGACGACCAGCCACACUGGGACUGAGACACGGCCCAGACUCCUACGGGAGGCAGCAGUGGGGAAUUUUGGACAAUGGGCGAAAGCCUGAUCCAGCAAUGCCGCGUGCAGGAUGAAGGCCCUCGGGUUGUAAACUGCUUUUGUACGGAACGAAAAGCCUGGGGCUAAUAUCCCCGGGUCAUGACGGUACCGUAAGAAUAAGCACCGGCUAACUACGUGCCAGCCGCCGCAGUAA
rnacentral:rRNA from 1 species